GUGCUCACUUCGCAGCACAUGUAUACUAAAAUUAGAACAAUACAGAGAAGAUUAACAUGGCCCCUUCGCAAGGAAGACGUGCAAAUUUGUGAAGCAUUCUAUAUUUAA